ensembl:lncRNA
AAAAAGAAUAAAAUCAUGAAAUCAAAGCAUGGGCAUGAGCGCACGGCCAGGCAAAGUCCAACCUCUCCAUGCACCCAAAUGGUGCCCACCUCGCGGAGGGGAUAAGAAGAAUUUCGAUGGAGAGCGGUUACAGCUCUGCGAGCAGCACCGCCAGGAGCAGAGAUCUCGAGGAUCCCCUUUGGCUUUGGCUUUCCGAAUGACAACAAAACAGAGCCACGGAAAGCAGAACACGGACCCACGUCCCCGUGCGGGCAAAGCCCCGCAGCGCCGAGCAUCGAAAACGCUGCGGGGGCGAAGGAGCGGAC